rnacentral:rRNA from 1 species
UACAGAGGUCCCAAGCGUUGUUCGGAUUCACUGGGCGUAAAGGGUGCGUAGGUGGCGAGGUAAGUCGGGUGUGAAAUCUCGGAGCUUAACUCCGAAACUGCAUUCGAUACUGCCGUGCUUGAGGACUGGAGAGGAGACUGGAAUUUACGGUGUAGCGGUGAAAUGCGUAGAUAUCGUAAGGAAGACCAGUGGCGAAGGCGGGUCUCUGGACAGUUCCUGACGCUGAGGCACGAAGGUCAGGGGAGCAAACGGG